AUAGUCCCCAAGCAAUAGCUGCACAAUUCUGUUGCCCAUGCUAGUUUCCUAAUCACAAUGUAUUUUUAUCCAAUUUCAUUGACUGAUGUGUGUUUCCUAGAUAUGAAGGAUGCUAAAGCCUCGUUUUGUGACUUUUAAGGAAAUUAUACUUUGAAUGAAUUUUGUUGCAGGGACUUAUCCUGUUGAUCAUAUUUAUAAAACACUCAAAACAAAAGUCUGGGAGGUUUUCAAAUAGGCUGUAACAUUCACAUGUGCAAACUCACCAGCAAAAGCUGGCAACAUGAAAAGAUGACUAAGUACAUUGCCUCUACCCUCAUGUACUGUGUGAAGCUGGGCAUAUGUCCAACCCACUGCUUUGUUCCUCUUGUUCUUGUGAAGGCUAACAGCAUAUUUGCUAUAAAUUGCCACCAUCUGGGAUUUGUUGAGCCGUGGCUAAGCAGAGCAAAAUGUCUACAAAAGAGUCAUGACAGAAGAGGCUUUUUAUAAAGAGUGAGACUGCAGAACCUGUGUCCCCAUCAGGAGACAGCCUGUCUGCAUUCACUGGUGUUCAUCCUUCUCCCUCAGCCUACCUGAACCCAGUGAAGUUCAUAGCACUUCAAAUCUUUUUCACCUGAUUUUCCAUGUUUUGUAGGCACUUGCUGAUAUUUUCCAGCAACAAAAAAUGAAUUCAUUUAAAUGGAGAACGCUCCCCAAACAGUGUUACUAGGGAACAACAUUUAGGCAACUAAUAUGCUGUACAAGAUCUUUCAGCACUACAGAAUAUCUAUGUUACAGACAGAAUUAUAUCUAACACUUACUUUCCUGUAUCUCUGCAUACAAGGAUGUUUCUUUUUCUCAUCAGCAUCUCUAACAAAACUUGAAGAAUAACUGUAGUGCUUUUUCUUCUCCCCAAAAUAUCUGACGGUUUUUUCCUCUCACGUUUCCAGGAGAUGAAAAUCGUGCCUGUGUUCCUUGCACGACGCUGCAGCCCGCUCUGCUGCCUCCCUCUCGUGGAGCUCCUGCAGAACCUCAGCUCGGGUUCCCGCAAGACCUUCACAAAAGUGCCUCCCUGCAGUAGUAAUUUCCUCUGGCAGGCAAAAAGAAACUGGCAAGUCCAUCACCUUACUGCAGAAGUUAGUAAGUGGCUCACUUGGAAAAGAAGGUGUGCUUCAGGAAACAUAUCCCAGCAUGGAAGGGCCACUCAAAUGUUGCCAGGUAAGUUAACUGAAAGCUUGUCAGAGAGGUGUUUAUUUUGACAAAGCAUGGCAAAAUAAGAACAAAGCAUUAACACAGAAUGAUAAAGCUUCAGGAAAUCAUUCCAGUGAACAAUCCAAACUAAUACCUACUCUAGCACAGAUUUUCUUCCAGAAAAUUUGCCAAGUAUAUACAUUUGCCAUUGUGCUGGAAGUAGAGAAAGGCACAGUUACAUGAAAUAGUCAUAAGAAUAAUAGAUUUUUUAGC
rnacentral:lncRNA from 1 species